AUUGAACGCUGGCGGCAGGCCUAACACAUGCAAGUCGAGCGGCAGCGGGAAAGUAGCUUGCUACUUUUGCCGGCGAGCGGCGGACGGGUGAGUAAUGCCUGGGAAAUUGCCCAGUCGAGGGGGAUAACAGUUGGAAACGACUGCUAAUACCGCAUACGCCCUACGGGGGAAAGCAGGGGACCUUCAGGCCUUGCGCGAUUGGAUAUGCCCAGGUGGGAUUAGCUAGUUGGUGAGGUAAUGGCUCACCAAGGCGACGAUCCCUAGCUGGUCUGAGAGGAUGAUCAGCCACACUGGAACUGAGACACGGUCCAGACUACUACGGGAGGCAGCAGUGGGGAAUAUUGCACAAUGGGGGAAACCCUGAUGCAGCCAUGCCGCGUGUGUGAAGAAGGCCUUCGGGUUGUAAAGCACUUUCAGCAGGGAGGAAGAGUUGAGUGUUAAUAGUACUCAGCUUUGACGUUACCUACAGAAGAAGCACCGGCUAACUCUGUGCCAGCCGCCGCCGUAAUAC
rnacentral:rRNA from 1 species